rnacentral:lncRNA from 1 species
CAGAGAUACCUCCUCUGUUCUAUCCUGGUUGAGAGAUUUCUUGCUGCUGUAAAGAAGAGAGCUGAGGAAGAAGCUCAGGGACUACACCAAACAUGGUCUACAUAGUUUAAUUCCUAGUUCAUUCCCUGUCUUUCUUUUGGACUGUUUCAACCAGGUAUCUCCCAGACAAGUUUCUAGGAGGUUAGUCCUAAGCCAGUUUGAGCUUCCUUACUUUCUCCUCUGUGCCAGCAAAGAGGCAUAAUCUAAGAGGUCUUCCAGGCAUGCAGAGUGUGAUCUUCUUUGCUCAACAUCCUGACCAAACCACUUAAUAUAUUAAUCCUUAAGCUACGUGUAUGGAGCUUGCUUCCAAAUAUUUGCAAUGAACACACUACAUAAACUGGUUUUCAUGUGCUGAGGUAUUUUUGACUAGUCUCUGAGAUGACAGGUCUCUCUGGAAAUAUCAUAACUGUUGCUAAUUGGAAAUUGUAAGUUGUUUAUUUAGAUAGUAUUAAGAACCUGGGGUUUAGAUGUCUUAUCUGCUGUAACUUCUGCCCAAGCAUGACUAGAAAAGAAAAAAAAGAAAAAGCACUCGAUGAUUCUUGCAUCCUCUCCUGAAACUGGAGGCUGCAGCCUCUGUCUACUGAUGUCAUUUUCAUAAGCAUGUGGAACAGCAGUAUCGUACUCCAUCUCUGUCUAGCCCCAGUGUAAGUAGGAAAAGGUGGGAAAUUGGGGGAAUUUGG